AAUAAAGAGAACAUGAUGUUGGUUCAGAUAAAAUGCUAUAUAGAGACAUAACACAUGCAAGUUUAUAAAAAAUAAGCGUAAAGGUGAGUAAAAUAAUAUAUAAGAAAAUAAUAUAUUAUACAGAUGUAGGUAUUAGAAAAUAAUCUAGCCAAAGAACUGAAAUUAAUGAUGAAAGUCAUAAUGAUCACAUUGAGAAAUCAACUCUAACUAAGAGCAGCAGUGGGGAAUAUUUGACAAUGGUCUAACGACUGAUCAAGUUAUCUAUAAAAAGAAUAUUAAUAAUAACCCCCCCCCCCUUCCUUCCUCUCCCUUUCUUGUUCAGAAAGGGAGAGGCUUUUGGAAGGGGGGGGGGAAAUGAUUAUCAUCUCCCACUCUUAUAGGGUGAGAGGAUAAUAAUAAAAAUAAUAAUAAAAGGUAAACUAUAAACUUAAAAAUAUAUAUUAAUAAUGAUAAUAUAUAAAAGAGUCCUAACUAAAACAUGUGCCAGCAGCUGCGGUUAGACAUGGAGGGCAAGCAUUAAUCAAAAUGGCUUAAAGUAUCUGUAGAACGUAUAAUAAUUAAUAAUAAUAAUAAUAAUUACCCCCCCCCUUGGGGGGGGGGGUGAUUAUCAUCUUUAUAGAUAAUAAUAACCCCCCCCCCGUAAAGGGGGGGGGGUACUUAUCAUCCCCCCCCCCCUUUCCUUUGGAAAGGGGGGGGGGGGAUAAUAAUUAAAUAUAGAAUAUAUUAAAAGGUAAUAAGAAUUAAAGUAAAAGAGAUGAAAUACAAUAAAAACAUUAAGACAAAAAAGAGAUUACUAAAAUAUAUUGACGUUGUGAGAUGAAGGCUAUGGUAGCGACAUGGAUUUGAUACCCAUUUAGUCAUAGCAGUAAACAAUGAAUACUAUAAAGAUAAAUGAAAAUAAGAAGUAUUCCGCCUGACUAGUAAGCUCGCAAGAGUGAAAUACAAGACAUUAGACGGUUGUAGUCCCAAGCAGUGAAACAUGUUAUUUAAUUGGAUGAUCCACCAAUAACCUUACCAUCUCUUGAAUUAUUAACAGGCGUUACAUCGUUGUCGUCAGUUCAUGCUUUAAAGUUUAAUUUUAAUUAAUAUAAUGAACGUAAACCUUAUAAAAAAUAUGUAUUAUCUUAAGAUAAUAGUAAGAAGAGGAUGAAGACUAAUCAUGAUGACCCUAAUGAGAUGGGCUAUCAACGUGUUACAAUAAUAUUAAAUAAUAUUAAUAUAAGUAAUUAUAUUUAAAUAUCUUAUAUAUUUUAUAUUAUAACUUACCCCCUUAUAAUCCAAUGGAUUAUAAGGGGGGUAUAAGAUUAUAAAAAUAAUCAAAUAAUAAAUUAUAUUAUAAAUAAUUAAAUAAUAUUAAUAAGAAUUAUUAAUAAUUCUAUUAUGGAUUAAAGUCUGUAAUUCGACUUUAUAAAAAAGGAAUUGCUAGUAAUCUUAAACAAUAGUGUUAAGGUGAAAUUAAUUGCUACUUCGCACUAACCACUCAUCAACAGCAUGAAAUUAUAAUAUCAUUUAUUAAUGAUUCAUUUAUAUAGGACUUGCUGUAAGUUGAAAUACGGUUCGGUUAGGGGAACCUGAUCGGGAUUUAUAUUUAUU
rnacentral:rRNA from 1 species